UUUGAUCAUGGCUCAGAUUGAACGCUGGCGGCAGGCUUAACACAUGCAAGUSGAGCGGUAACAGGGAGCUUGCUCCCCGCUGACGAGCGGCGGACGGUGAGUAAUGCAUAGGAAACUGCCCAGUAGUGGGGGAUAGCCCGGGAAACCCGGAUUAAUACCGCAUACSGCCUUUGGGGGAAAGCAGGGGAUCUUCGGACCUUGCGCUAUUGGAUGUGCCUAUGUCGGAUUAGCUAGUUGGUGGGGUAAGAGCCUACCAAGGCGACGAUCCGUAGCUGGUCUGAGAGGAUGAUCAGCCACAUCGGGACUGAGACACGGCCCGAACUCCUACGGGAGGCAGCAGUGGGGAAUAUUGGACAAUGGGGGCAACCCUGAUCCAGCCAUGCCGCGUGUGUGAAGAAGGCUUUCGGGUUGUAAAGCACUUUCAGUGAGGAGGAAAACCUUAAGUUUAAUACGCUUGAGGCUUGACGUUACUCACAGAAGAAGCACCGGCUAACUCCGUGCCAGCAGCCGCGGUAAUACGGAGGGUGCAAGCGUUAAUCGGAAUUACUGGGCGUAAAGCGCGCGUAGGUGGUUUGAUAAGCGAGAUGUGAAAGCCCCGGGCUCAACCUGGGAACGGCAUUUCGAACUGUCAGGCUAGAGUAUGGUAGAGGAGUGUGGAAUUUCCUGUGUAGCGGUGAAAUGCGUAGAUAUAGGAAGGAACACCAGUGGCGAAGGCGGCACUCUGGACC
rnacentral:rRNA from 1 species